AUGGAGGUGUCCCGACAGUUCCUACAGAGGGAAGAUGGUCAUCCAACUAGAGGGCCGGAGCAGUCAUUAUCGCAUGUGAAGGCCGGCUGUAAGCCGCAAUGCAAGUGGAGCCCGCCUUUGGAAGGGUGGGCUAAGCUCAAUGUCGAUGAGUCAUUCUCCAACGAUGAUGGAAGUGUCGGGUGUAUGGAAGGGUUCGGCCUAGCUCUUCGGUGGACAAAGACGCCGAUUAUCGUGGAGUGCGACAGUUUGCAGGCGGUACAGAUGAUCAAGGCAAGUGGGCCGGAUCGUUCCCAGCAUGCAAUGGUGAUUUCUAAAGUUAAAAGUCUUAUGGGUACAAGGCCUUUUGGUCUUUUGCGGCGUCACUUUGAACUUUUGGAGUGGGAGUUGCGUCUGAGAAUUGAGAUGCGAUUCCUCCGUGGUGGAGUGAGCCUUUCGGUUUCAAAAUCGCCCCGUCUUCCACCGUUUCCACGUACCCGUCGCUCUUCCCCUCUCUCUCUCUCUGUUGCCCACUCUCUGCCUCCUCCGGUCCCUCCCCAAAUUCGUCCGUUCCCAGCCCCGGCCGCGGCUGCCCUCCUCCUCCCCGCAGCCCUCCCGCGCCGACGGCGGCGGGGCACCGCAGGCCAGCCCCACCGGCGCUGCAGCAGCGCGGAUCGGUUACCCCCUUCGUCGGUAAGGAACCAAACAAACCUAGCUCGAUUGCGUGCUAGUUGGUUUUUCCUCCUCGGGUAUUUUCCGUUGCCUCUGCAGCGAGCGACCAAGAUCUAA
rnacentral:rRNA from 1 species